rnacentral:tRNA from 1 species
GAGUUCAAGUAGUUUAAUAAAAAAUUUAGAUUUGUGAUUUCUAAGAUGUGAGAUUCACUUUGGGCA